CCAGGUCAUUGUUUGAGUAUGGGAUUUCUGAUUAUUUGAUAGUCACUGAACGCACCACUGUGCCUUGCGCAUAGCCACUCCCUAGUUUAGCCACAGAGUUUUUCCUCCGUUCGUCCGAUGAGGCGCAUGCUGCUCUCGUGCCCUCUGCGAGCUGGAAAUUCGGGAAAAGGAGUCUUGUAGCUGUUACGAACGUGAAGCCGAGCUGAAUCCGACAGCCAUUCGCCAUUACAUGAACCCCUCUGGCUGGUUUGUUUGCCCUUUCGAUACCCUGGAUCCUACUGGAUAAACUGCCUUGUGGAAGUCCUCAUCUGAUGACUCCGCUGAGCCGUCCUGGCUAGUAGAUGGUCUUUGCUGAGGACGGAUGCUUCUGUUGCUGGAUGCUAUUAUUGGAUGCUACCCCGUUCCAACAGAGCGGUAGGAACAAUUUAAAGGGCCCCAACAGUGCACUUUACUUUUCCCUGAGCUCAGGUGGUUUUCUUUUGGCCAAAGGACCUUGAAGGAUACAUAUUUGUGUUUAUUUUGUUUUUUUCCUUGGGACACUGAGUGGAAAGACACUACGAAAAAAGGCCUUAUUAUUUAAAAUUGUGUUUAAUAAAUGUGUUUAUGUUAA